rnacentral:hammerhead_ribozyme from 1 species
AUCCAGCUGAUGAGUCCAAAAUAAGACGAAACUCGUGUUCUGGAU